CAUUAAGAAGCUAAACAGCGCUAACCUUUUAAGUUAGAGAUUGAGAACAUAAAUUUCUCCUUAAUGA
rnacentral:tRNA from 1 species